UACGUAGGGUGCGAGCGUUAAUCGGAAUUACUGGGCGUAAAGCGUGCGCAGGCGGUGAUGUAAGACAGUUGUGAAAUCCCCGGGCUCAACCUGGGAACUGCAUCUGGGACUGCAUCGCUGGAGUGCGGCAGAGGGGGAUGGAAUUCCGCGUGUAGCAGUGAAAUGCGUAGAUAUGCGGAGGAACACCGAUGGCGAAGGCAAUCCCCUGGGCCUGCACUGACGCUCAUGCACGAAAGCGUGGGGAGCAAACAGG
rnacentral:rRNA from 1 species